GUCCACCUUGGAUGAAGAAGUGUCUCAGGGAAUGGAUCGAAUAAGGAGGCACGGUGGACAAAAGUGUCCCUAACCAACCUCAUUUGUUUCUGCAGGGAGUCCAGCAAGCAAGCAUUGCAUGCCACAUUCUCUCAGCCACUUCUUCAGUAGAGUUUUCUGGGUCCUGAUCUGUACAGAGGGACAGGCAAUGGGCAGGUUGUUCCUACAGUACCUGAGGAUGCUGGACAAAGAGAUCAUCCCCAUGGAUUUCUAUGGGGUUGCGAUAUACGUCCAGCCAUUACUUAUGUUCUCAUUUGCAUUUUUAUAUGGAGAAUUUUUCAAUUUAUUGCAAGCAGGCUUUAUGUAGUAAAAAAGAAAAAGCUUGCUGUAGAACACUCUGGACUAAUAAAAGAAAAUUGUGAUCUACUUGACAAACCUAACUUUCUAGAAAAAGAGCUUUCAGAAGAACCUGGACCAUGGAAAGAAAAAUUACGGAAAGCUGCUGAUGAAGCGCAAAUAGGACUUGAAAACACUAAAAUACGCAGAAAACAACUUCUGAGGGAUGCACGAGGCCUCUUUGAGGUUAAUGACUCCUCUGAUUUGUAUGAUUGAGCUGGCUGGAAUUUUAUUUUAACAUGGAAAUUUAUAAAGUUUUACAUGCCAAAAAAAAAGUUUUGCAAACAAAUCCUUGCUAUGGGAAAUGAUGAAUUAAAUUGCUAGACUGGGAUCUUGAAA